UACGUAGGGAGCAAGCGUUGUCCGGAUUCACUGGGUGUAAAGGGUGCGCAGGCGGGAGAGUAAGUCAGAGGUGAAAUCUCACAGCUUAACUGUGAAACUGCCUUUGAUACUGCUUUUCUUGAGUUCGGGAGAGGUUGAUGGAAUUCCAGGUGUAGCGGUGAAAUGUGUAGAUAUCUGGAAGAACACCAGUGGCGAAGGCGGUCAACUGGCCCGUAACUGACGCUCAGGCACGAAAGCGUGGGUAGCGAACAGG
rnacentral:rRNA from 1 species